UAGGGAAUAUUGGACAAUGGGCGCAAGCCUGAUCCAGCCAUGCCGCGUGAGUGAUGAAGGCCUUAGGGUUGUAAAGCUCUUUCGCACGCGAGGAUGAUGACGGUAGCGUGAGAAGAAGCCCCGGCUAACUUCGUGCCAGCAGCCGCGGUAAUACGAAGGGGGCUAGCGUUGUUCGGAAUUACUGGGCGUAAAGGGCGCGUAGGCGGUCGAUCGCGUUGGGUGUGAAAGCCCCGGGCUCAACCUGGGAUGUGCGCCCGAAACGGGUCGGCUGGAGAUCGGAAGAGGAGAGUGGAAUUCCCAGUGUAGAGGUGAAAUUCGUAGAUAUUGGGAAGAACACCGGUGGCGAAGGUGGCUCUCUGGUCCGAUUCUGACGCUGAGGCGCGUAAGCGUGGGGAGCAAACAGGAUUAGAUACCCUGGUAGUCCACGCUGUAAACGAUGCGUGCUAGACGUUGGGAGGCCUAGCCUCUCGGUGUCGCAGUCAACACGUUAAGCACGCCGCCUGGGGAGUACGGCCGCAAGGUUA
rnacentral:rRNA from 1 species